GACGAACGCUGGCGGCGUGCCUAAUACAUGCAAGUUGAGCGCUGAAGGUUGGUACUUGUACCAACUGGAUGAGCAGCGCACGGGUGAGUAACGCGUGGGGAAUCUGCCUUUGAGCGGGGGACAACAUUUGGAAACGAAUGCUAAUACCGCAUAAAAACUUUAAACACAAGUUUUAAGUUUGAAAGAUGCAAUUGCAUCACUCAAAGAUGAUCCCGCGUUGUAUUAGCUAGUUGGUGAGGUAAAGGCUCACCAAGGCGAUGAUACAUAGCCGACCUGAGAGGGUGAUCGGCCACAUUGGGACUGAGACACGGCCAAAACUCCUACGGGAGGCAGCAGUAGGGAAUCUUCGGCAAUGGACGAAAGUCUGACCGAGCAACGCCGCGUGAGUGAAGAAGGUUUUCGGAUCGUAAAACUCGGUUGGUAGAGAAGAACGUUGGUGAGAGUGGAAAGCUCAUCAAGUGACGGUAACUACCCAGAAAGGGACGGCUAACUACGUG
rnacentral:rRNA from 1 species